CCUACGGGUGGCAGCAGUGGGGAAUAUUGGACAAUGGGGGGAACCCUGAUCCAGCCAUGCCGCGUGUGUGAAGAAGGCCCUCGGGUUGUAAAGCACUUUCAGUGAGGAAGAACGCCUGGUGGUUAAUACCCAUCAGGAAAGACAUCACUCACAGAAGAAGCACCGGCUAACUCCGUUCCAGCAGCCGCGGUAAUACGGAGGGUGCGAGCGUUAAUCGGAAUUACUGGGCGUAAAGCGCGCGUAGGUGGCUUGAUAAGCCGGUUGUGAAAGCCCCGGGCUCAACCUGGGAACGGCAUCCGGAACUGUCAAGCUAGAGUGCAGGAGAGGAAGGUAGAAUUCCCGGUGUAGCGGUGAAAUGCGUAGAGAUCGGGAGGAAUACCAGUGGCGAAGGCGGCCUUCUGGACUGACACUGACACUGAGGUGCGAAAGCGUGGGUAGCAAACAGGAUUAGAUACCCGAGUAGUC
rnacentral:rRNA from 1 species